rnacentral:rRNA from 1 species
AUUGAACGCUGGCGGCAUGCCUUACACAUGCAAGUCGAACGGCAGCACGGGUGCUUGCACCUGGUGGCGAGUGGCGAACGGGUGAGUAAUACAUCGGAACGUACCUUAUCGUGGGGGAUAACGCAGCGAAAGCUGUGCUAAUACCGCAUACGCCCUGAGGGGGAAAGCGGGGGAUCGCAAGACCUCGCGCGAUUAGAGCGGCCGAUGCCUGAUUAGCUUGUUGGUGGGGUAAAAGCCCACCAAGGCGACGAUCAGUAGCUGGUCUGAGAGGACGAUCGGCCGCACGGGGACUGAGACAAGGCCCAGACUCCUACGGGAGGCAGAAGUGGGGAAAUGUGGACAAUGGGGGCAACCCUGAUCCAGCAAUGCCGCGUGAGUGAAGAAGGCCUUCGGGUUGUAAAGCUCUUUUGUCAGGGAAGAAACACCGGCUCUAACACAGUCUGGGAAUGACGGUACCUGAAGAAUAAGCACCGGCUAACUACGUGCCAGCAGCCGCCGUAAAAC